rnacentral:rRNA from 1 species
GACGAACGCUGGCGGCGUGCUUAACACAUGCAAGUCGAGCGGUAAGGCCUUUCGGGGUACACGAGCGGCGAACGGGUGAGUAACACGUGAGUAAUCUGCCCUUCACUCUGGGAUAACCUCUGGAAACGGUGGCUAAUACCGGAUAUGACCUCCUUCCGCAUGGUGGGUGGUGGAAAGUUUUUUCGGUGGGGGAUGAGCUCGCGGCCUAUCAGCUUGUUGGUGGGGUGAUGGCCUACCAAGGCGACGACGGGUAGCCGGCCUGAGAGGGUGACCGGCCACACUGGGACUGAGACACGGCCCAGACUCCUACGGGAGGCAGCAGUGGGGAAUAUUGGACAAUGGGCGGAAGCCUGAUCCAGCAACGCCGCGUGAGGGAUGACGGCCUUCGGGUUGUAAACCUCUUUCAGUAGGGACGAAGCGUGAGUGACGGUACCUACAGAAGAAGGACCGGCCAACUACGUGCCAGCCGCCGCCGUAACAC